rnacentral:rRNA from 1 species
GACGAACGCUGGCGGCGUGCUUAACACAUGCAAGUCGAACGGAAAGGCCCUGCUUUUGUGGGGUGCUCGAGUGGCGAGCGGGUGAGUAACACGUGAGUAACCUGCCCUUGACUUUGGGAUAACUUCAGGAAACUGGGGCUAAUACCGGAUAGGAGCUCCUGCUGCAUGGUGGGGGUUGGAAAGUUUCGGCGGUUGGGGAUGGACUCGCGGCUUAUCAGCUUGUUGGUGGGGUAGUGGCUUACCAAGGCUUUGACGGGUAGCCGGCCUGAGAGGGUGACCGGCCACAUUGGGACUGAGAUACGGCCCAGACUCCUACGGGAGGCAGCAGUGGGGAAUAUUGCACAAUGGGCGGAAGCCUGAUGCAGCAACGCCGCGUGCGGGAUGACGGCCUUCGGGUUGUAAACCGCUUUCGCCUGUGACGAAGCGUGAGUGACGGUAAUGGGUAAAGAAGCACCGGCUAACUACGUGCCAGCAGCCGCGGUGAUACGUAGGGUGCGAGCGUUGUCCGGAUUUAUUGGGCGUAAAGGGCUCGUAGGUGGUUGAUCGCGUCGGAAGUGUAAUCUUGGGGCUUAACCCUGAGCGUGCUUUCGAUACGGGUUGACUUGAGGAAGGUAGGGGAGAAUGGAAUUCCUGGUGGAGCGGUGGAAUGCGCAGAUAUCAGGAGGAACACCAGUGGCGAAGGCGGUUCUCUGGGCCUUUCCUGACGCUGAGGAGCGAAAGCGUGGGGAGCGAACAGGCUUAGAUACCCUGGUAGUCCACGCUGUAAACGGUGGGUACUAGGUGUGGGGUCCAUUCCACGGGUUCCGUGCCGUGGCUAACGCUUUAAGUACCCCGCCUGGGGAGUACGGCCGCAAGGCUAAAACUCAAAGGAAUUGACGGGGCCCCGCACAAGCGGCGGAGCAUGCGGAUUAAUUCGAUGCAACGCGUAGAACCUUACCUGGGUUUGACAUGGAUCGGGAGUGCUCAGAGAUGGGUGUGCCUCUUUUGGGGUCGGUUCACAGGUGGUGCAUGGCUGUCGUCAGCUCGUGUCGUGAGAUGUUGGGUUAAGUCCCGCAACGAGCGCAACCCUUGUUCACUGUUGCCAGCACGUUAUGGUGGGGACUCAGUGGAGACCGCCGGGGUCAACUCGGAGGAAGGUGGGGAUGACGUCAAGUCAUCAUGCCCCUUAUGUCCAGGGCUUCACGCAUGCUACAAUGGCUGGUACAGAGAGUGGCGAGCCUGUGAGGGUGAGCGAAUCUCGGAAAGCCGGUCUCAGUUCGGAUUGGGGUCUGCAACUCGACCUCAUGAAGUCGGAGUCGCUAGUAAUCGCAGAUCAGCAACGCUGCGGUGAAUACGUUCCCGGG